AACGAACGCUGGCGGCAUGCCUAACACAUGCAAGUCGAACGAUUGCCUUCGGGUGAUAGUGGCGCACGGGUGCGUAACGCGUGGGAAUCUGCCCUUAGGUUCGGAAUAACAGCUGGAAACGGCUGCUAAUACCGGAUGAUAUCGCGAGAUCAAAGAUUUAUCGCCUGAGGAUGAGCCCGCGUUGGAUUAGGUAGUUGGUGGGGUAAAGGCCUACCAAGCCGACGAUCCAUAGCUGGUCUGAGAGGAUGAUCAGCCACACUGGGACUGAGACACGGCCCAGACUCCUAAGGGAGGCAGCAGUGGGGAAUAUUGGACAAUGGGCGCAAGCCUGAUCCAGCAAUGCCGCGUGAGUGAUGAAGGCCCUAGGGUUGUAAAGCUCUUUUACCCGGGAAGAUAAUGACUGUACCGGGAGAAUAAGCCCCGGCUAACUCCGUG
rnacentral:rRNA from 1 species